rnacentral:rRNA from 1 species
UACAUGUGGGGCAAGCGUUGUUCGGAAUUACUGGGCGUAAAGGGCGCGUAGGCGGGAUGGCAAGUCGGUCGUGAAAUCCCUCGGCUCAACCGAGGAACGUCGAUCGAUACUGCUGUUCUUGAGGAUUGCAGAGGAGACUGGAAUUCCCGGUGUAGCGGUGAAAUGUGUAGAGAUCGGGAGGAACACCGGUGGCGAAGGCGGGUCUCUGGGCAAUUCCUGACGGCUGAGGCGCGAAAGCGUGGGGAGCAAACGGG